CAUCUUUUCAUGGCCCCCCGAAGCGCCUAUAUUGAAAGGGUCGGUUUUCCGACUAUGGCGAUAAACAUUAAGUGAAAUAGGCGUAGCGGACCCGGGGGCAGUACCCGGCGCCUCCACCAUAUUUUUUACACCCGCAGACCUUGGGUCAUUUUCAACAGGGGACAAGCGGGGCUUAUGGGGGCGAAACAGGAUCGACGCGCGUGGUAAAGGCUUAAUUUUUGCUCGGUAUGAUACCACCGUUAUCGGGUCGUUUUAUAAGUGCCAAUGACAACAAUCGUUAUGCACUCGCUGCUUAAAUAAGCAAGCGCGGUCCGGGGGGCACCGGGCAACAGAAGCCCCCCACC
rnacentral:tmRNA from 1 species